UGUUACAUUUCUACAUCUGGAACCACUAUAUUGCUGUGGAAAAGGAUAUAAUAAGGUUCGUUUUGGUUCUUAUUUCGCAUGUUCUGUAACGUAGUACUUAGAUCUGGUUAUAUUGUGAAAACAUAGACAUUUAUUCAAAUGGGCGGAUGAGUGUUUGAUUGAAGAGGUUGAGGAUAUUAAGUCAUUGAUAAGUGGCAUGAACAAAGACAUCUCGGAAUUCAGACUUAGCAUUGCUCAGUUGGAGAAAGAGAUUGAAGUAAUGAAGACGACAUCUGAGGGAAAAGGAGAAGAAUGUAUGAGUCAGGGUCGGUGUUUGAGGAAUGUGUUUGUUUGUGGGGUUGGAAUGUCGUUACUUUGCUACUACUACUACUUUGUUUAGUAAUGUUUUGUAAGUCAGCCUAUGUUUUAUGUAACUCAGACUUAACGUAUUAAAGUAUCUCAGCCGUGAAGCAAACAAAUGAUAACAUUGUUUACAAACUCAGCCGUGAAGCAAACAAAUGAUAACAUUGUUUACAAACUCAGCCGUGAAGCAAAUAAAUGAUAACAUUGUUUAGAAACUCAGCCGUUAUGUAUAAAGUAACUCAGUUGUAAAGUGUAAGAGCACGUAUAACCCUGUAUCUUAGGGGGACUCUUAAUGAAAAUUAAAAUUAAAAGAAAAACAAAAAUGGCAAUUUAAAGAAGAAACGUUCCUUAAUCUGGGGUUAGAAGGAAGGUGUCUUAGGUACACGUGUUAGAUUUCGGGGGAGGAAGAGAAAGAGAGAGAAAGGAAAAAAACUGGUCUUGUCUUCAUUGUUUCAUUCGGUCCUCUCGCUUUCUCUCUCUGUCUCUCCGUCGGUCCCGACUCUGCAUGCGUCGGAGACGAAUCGGCGAUGCUAUUUUGUGAAUCGAAAGGCUGAUCGAAGAGGUCGUCUCUCUCUCUCUCUCUCUCUCUCUCUCUCUCUCUCUCUCUCUCUCUCUCUCUCUCUCUCUCGCUCCCCAAAAUCGCAUGCGUCUGAGGCUCAUCGAAGAGGCUGUUCUGUGAAUCGAAAGGCCAAUCAAAGAGGCUGUCUCUAUCUCUCUCUCUGUCGCUCCCGAAAACCGCAUGUGUCUGAGUCGAAGCGAAGGAGCCGCAUCAACAAUCAAAAGGCAACAAUCGAAAGUCUCAGGCGGUACCGGAAACCACUUGCAACUGUGUGGAAGCGAGACAGCUGAGUCAAAUUGAAAGGUGAAACGCAUAAGCUUUGCGGUCCUGUGAUGCGGAUUAACUUGGUUGAAGGUGAAACGCAGAAGCUCUCAAUAAAUUCCAAGUUCUUCUCGGCAAAGUCAAGGUUUGUUCCCUCCUUUACAGUUGUUACUGAAAUGAAUAUGUCUUGAUUAUGAUUAGAAUAGAACUGGGGAUAAUAAAUGUUGUAUACUGUUAGUUAAUGGUUGGCUUAGGUAAUAAAUAUGUGGUUGAUCGAUUGUUGUUGUGGGAUGAAUGUGAAUAGAUAGGAUCGAUUGUUGUUGUGUAAUGAAUGUGAUUAGAUAGGAACGAUUGUGGUUGUGUGAUGAAUGAGUUUAGAUAUAUGUCUAGUCCAUUUAAACUUCUCUUCCAUCUAUUUAACUCAAUCUCAUCCAUCUAAAAUUUCUAACUUCUCUUCCAUCUAUUUAAACUUCUCUUCUUUAUCAUCUCUUCUUUAUCGUCUCUUCUUUAUCAUCUCCUCCAUCUCUCUUAUAAUCCGUAUCAGUAUGGAUUAUAAUCCAUAUGCAAAUUAUGCUGAUCUUCUUAAUAGUCAACAAGAAAGUGUGACUUCUUUUGACUCUCCGCCAGUUCAUGUGGCUCGCACAGAAGGCACUGAAGAUUCAUGCUUCGGUGACACUCCUGCAGACCGUAGAGAGCGAAGAACCUGGACGCCUACAGAUGAUAUAGUUCUAAUUAGCUCGUGGUUAAACACUUCUAAAGAUCCCGUUGUAGGGAAUGAGUAAAAUUCAUGUGCAUUCUGGAAGAGAAUUGCGGCCUUCUUUGCGGCUAGUCCUAAGCUUGCAGGCUGUGAAAGAAGAGAGUCAAUGCACUGCAAGCAACGUUGGCACAAGAUCAAUGAUCUUGUGUGCAAGUUCUGUGGAGCAUAUGAAGCUGCAGGUUCACAAUCCUGUGUGCAAGUUCUGUGGAGCAUAUGAAGCUGCAGGGAGAGAGAGAACAAGUGGCCAAAAUGAGAAUGAUAUUCUCAAACAAGCUCACAAAAUAUUCUUCAACAACUAUAAAAAAAAUUCACACUCGAGCAUGCGUGGAAAGAGCUUCGCAACGACCAGAAAUGGUGUGAUUUAUCUACUGCUAAAACCACCAAAAGCUCUAAAAAGAGGAAGUGUGAGGACGGUUCACAAUCCUCAACAUCUCACGCAACUGACUACAAGGCUGGUGAAGCGGAUGAGGGAACUGCUAGGCCCACUGGUGUUAAGGCAGCGAAGAGCCGUGGUAAGAAGAUAAUGGAAGAGGGGAAGGGGCUGGCCGAGUUUGAGCGUAUGUGGUCCAUUAAACAAGAGGAUUUGACUAGGAAAGAAAGACUCUCGAAGUUGGGUCUACUUGACCGUCUACUAGCAAAGACAGAACCAUUGGCUGAGUACGAAGAAGCUCUAAAAAAGAACCUCAUCAACGAGUUGUUCUCCACUUAGUUUAAGUUUUAUGGUUUUUGUUGUUUGGACUUUGUCAAAAAUGCAUCUUUAUGACUUGUUGUUUGAACGUUGUCGUGAAUUAAUAUGAGUUGUUGUUUUUUGGUUAUGACAAGAAUGUAUCUCUAUGACUUGUUGUUUGAACGUUCUCGUGAAUUAAUAUGAGUUGUUGUUUCUUGGUUAUGACAAGAAUGUAUUUCUAUGAGUUGUUGUUUGUUGGUCAUGUUCUGUUGUUAACAUGUUCUUCUCGAGUGUAAUUAUUUCAGGUAAAGCCGGGUGUGGAAAACUGGUGUAAAGUGAGAGAACACUCACGAGCUCUGUCACAGAGUUGUAAAGGCAUGAAAGUGACAAGUUUUGGAAUUUUCUGUCACAGACUUGUAUUGUUUUGUAUUGGUGUGUCACGAGUUAUGAAAGUGUCAUGCGCUUUGUAUUGGUGUGUCACCAGAAUAUUGUAAACUCUCAUGUUUUGUAAUGGUGUGUCACGAGUUAAAGUGAAGUCUUUCUUUAUAAACUCUUCUUGUUCUCUCUUUAAAAACACAUAAUAUCUUGUUCUUAUUCUCUCGUUAAACUCCCAAGUCCGUAACGAGAACAACACAAAAAGUUUCAAUAUCAACUCUCUCUUCUGUUCUUGUUCUUGUGUCUCUUCUUCUUGUUCACUCUUUCAAGUUUCAGUAACAUAGUCUCUUCUUCUUGUUCACUCAUUAAAUUUUCAAAUCUAUACCAAAAGAAUCCGAAACUAUUUCUUUUUCUCGAAAACUCUUUAUCCCUCUUAUAACUUCAAAUCCGUACCAAAAGAAUCAAAAACUCUACACAUAUAUGGCAUCUUCUUCUUAUAACAUUUUCGAGGGAUCAAUUGAUGAAACUUUUGAUCAAUAUUUUGAUCAACAUUUUGAUCAAACGUUCGAGAAUUUUUUUAUUGAUUGUGGUGAUCAAGAAGAAGAAAGGAAAAGAAGGAAAAAACGAGUUUAUAUCUAACAAAAUCAUGAAGAAGGCGAUGUACAUUUAUGGAAUGAUUAUUUCAGCGAAGAUCCAACACAUCCUGAAAAUCUAUUCUGACGACGAUUUAGAAUGAACAAACCAUUGCUCAUGCAUAUUGUUGACUGACUCUCCAAUGAAGUUUAAUUCUUUCAACAAAAGAGAGAUGGUCUCGGCAGGCUUAGUCUCUCUCCACUUCAAAAGUGUACCGCAUCCAUUUGUGUCUUGGCAUAUGGUAGUGCGGCUGAUGCGGUCGACGAAUACCUCCGACUCGGUGCAACAACUACUCGGUCAUGUUUGGAAAAUUUUAUGGACGGAAUAAUUUUUUUAUUCGGCGAUUAGUACCUAAGAAGACCAACACCUGCUGAUCUUCAACGUCUACUUGAUAUUGGUGAGCAUCGUGGAUUUCCCGGGAUGAUAGGAAGCAUCGAUUGUAUGCAUUGGGGGUGGAAGAAUUGUUCCACCGCUUGGAAAGGGCAAUAUUCUCGGGGUUCGGGUAAACCAACAAUUGUUUUAGAGGCGGUUGCUUCAUAUGAUCUCUGGAUAUGGCAUGCGUUUUUUGGACCUCCAGGUACCUUAAAUGGUAUCAAUGUUCUUGAUCGAUCACCGGUUUUUGAUGACAUAAUAAAGGGUCAAGCUCCACAAGUCACUUACUCUGUCAACGGAAGAGAGUAUCAUUUGGCGUACUAUCUCACCGAUGGUAUUUAUCCGAAAUGAGCAACUUUUAUCCAAUCUAUUCCAAUAACACAAGGGCCAAAAGCAGUUUUAUUUGCUCAACGUCAAGAAGUUGUCCGAAAAGAUGUCGAGCGUGCUUUUGGAGUCUUGCAAGCUCGCUUUGCCAUUGUUAAAAAUCCAGCACUUUUUUGGGAUAAACUCAAAAUUGGUAAGAUUAUGAGAGAUUGUAUCAUACUUUAUAAUAUGAUAGUAGAAGAUGAACGAGAUGGGUAGACUCAAUUUGACGUUUCAGAGUUCCUACAAGGAGAAGACAACGAGAGUUCACAAGUCGAUCUCACAUAUUCUACAUAUAUCCCUACAAAUAUCGCCAAUAUGAUGGGUGUUCGAAUUAGAAUUCUUGAUAGACAAAUGCAUCAACAAUUGAAAGAUGAUUUGGUUGAACAUGUGUGGUGUAAAUUUGGACGUGAUGAAGACAACAACUAAUCUUUUUUUUUUAUGUUUUUAUUUAAAAUUCAAUGUUUAAAAUGUUAUCUUU